UGCGUGCAUGAAGGUGCAUGGAUGUCCAUACAUUUGAACGGCUAUUUUACGACAACAUUUGACACAUAUUGUUCUACUCCAGAGUGACUUCACCGCUCAAACUUUCCACUUGUGUGAUCGCCUUACUCCAGCAAACAGAUCUGUUUGUUUGGAGUCGCUGUACACCAGCUCCGAACCAGGGAGAAACUAAUACCCUGGACCCGAGUUACAGAGUUAACUGUCCACAUUACACCGGCUGUCGGAAGAUGAUCCACAGCCUACCUGGGGACACACUUAUCUUUAGAGAAGCAUCUCCCCCAGAACGAGUCCUCAGCAGAACGAGUUCAUCCUUCAGGGCAUCGGCCUUAUUUGCUUAAGGUUUCUAUGUAUGGGUUUUCAGCCUCACGGAUUAAAGCUGAGAUUUCAACUUCAAUGGGACCUUUACGUUUGAUGUAGGUAACAGGUAACUAUAGACUUCAAGGCCUCCUGUAACCUUGGAUACAGCCUUCUGUCUGUGUGUGUGGCAGUAAACGUGACAGAUAACCAGAGGCAGUGACUUGUGAACAUUAACAGACCAUAUCCACUGAAAUGAAAGAAAGCAGAAAUGCGAUCCGGGAGAGAGAGAGAGAGCUAACUUGCUGAAGCGGCUGCCAUCGCGUCAUAUGGUUUAUGAUGUUAUACGACGCUGCAGAGCCAAGGAAAAACCCUCCAUCUGUCGGACGAAUCAUUCAAUUAUAUCUGCCAGUAUAUUCGCAUGAAUAGCUCAUCUGACAUGUUGUGGGUGUUAACGGACUUCUUUAUAACUACAACAGAAUCACUUGAGAGGGUUUAGUUUGUUUUGCUGACAUUACUCAAUAUUUAAUCCAAUGCCCUGCCACAGUUGGCAUUGCGAGUCUUGUGUCGACCUCAACCGAAUGCCGGCCAGGUUUGGGGGCUUAUCAAGGUUUAGAACAGAGGUCUCCAUUGCACAACCUUCCCCACUGGGCCAGAUGUUUCCAGGGACUACUGCACAGUGUGCUGGCCGAUGUGUGAUCUCUAAUCAGAUGAGUGCAGGGUUUCCUUUGAACGAAGGAGACCUGUGGUGGUGAAUCCCUGAACUCUCACUCUCCUCUACAAGUAAGAGCUUGUUCCCUGUCCAUUGUUUUACUUAUGGUUUUCCACUGAACCGUCCCUGGAAUCCGAGCCGAUGUGGUGAGCUCAGAUUCCAGGGACACCACCCCGAGCACCAUUCAUGAAAUAUUAAAUCGGCUGAACCAUUGGCAAGUCGUUAAUUCGUUGCCAGGGUUACCUGAACAAAGCGUCGUUUUGGUGAUGUUUAAGAGUGAUACAUCCUGUCCAUACGUCAUAUUCACAAUUCUAAUCAAUGAUUCCUUUUAACUUUUAUGUAAUGUACACAUUUAUUCAGACAAUUAAACUGUGUGAUUGGUCCAGGGGAACUUUAAUGAGAGGUACUCUGUUUCUGAUUGGCGGUAAUACCUGCUGAUUCCACCAGGUGGCACUGGCGUAGCAGCUCAACUGGGUCGGCUGCUGGGCACGGAGAAAACACAUUAAGAUUCCACUUCUCCACUUACUGGAUAUAAAAUGUAAAACUCCAUUUGCAUUUGCUACACAUUUCAUUAAAAACAUUAACGAAAUAAGCACAAGUAGUGUCAUGUAAACUGCAAAAAGUGCAUUACCAACUGAAUUCGCAAAUAGCUUCAAGGCCUACCUUUUGGCAACCGAUUCCCUGAAGCAUUAUGAGACAUGAAUAUACAUAACAUUACAUCUGCAACUCAAUUAUGCAUGGUGGAUUUUAUUGAACCUUGAUUUUUUACCACCCUUCAUAUAGCCCAACAGCCUUUGCCCCCAGCCUCCACCCGUUGACAUUUGUUAUUAACCUAAGACAGAGGUAGGCUACGCACCUCAUCUCACAUUUGAUCUGGAUCUUAACCGCAGUAUCAGAGGAAGUCAAAACCUGUAGAACGUCUUAAUCACAGUGAGCGACGUGGAGGGACGAAGAAAACGAGAGCUUCAUUAAAUAUGAACAAUAAUCUAUUUGGGAUCCCUCAUCGGGUCCGCGUGGAGCCGCUGAGCAGGUACAACUGUGUCCAAUCAGUGCGCGUUAUGUUCAAUCCAAACGGGAGCGUCACAGAAGAGCAUGUACACCGGACCCAGUAGCGGGCUAGAGCAAGUCAUCACCAAAACAUGAGCGCCCAGGCUUGAAGCACUUGGCUUGCAGCGGGCUCCAUGUCACCUCACAGCCACACAGCCCUCCGCCUUCUCCCGCGGACAUGAUGCCCGGUAUGCUCUUAUGGAAUGUCCCGCAGCCAGCCGCCGUCCCCCGCCAGGGAUCCGCGCGCCUCA